GCCUGGUGUGGUGGCCCACACCUGUGAUCCCAGCAGCUUGAGAGGCUGAGGCAGGAGGAUGGUGAGUUCAAGGUCAGCCUGGGCAACUUAGUGAGACCCUGUCUCAA
rnacentral:sRNA from 1 species